GCUGGGCAUGGUGGUGCAUGCCUGUAAUCCCAGCUAUUCAGGAGGCUGAGGCCGAAGAAUCGCUUGAACCCAGGAGGCAGAGGUUGCAGUGAGCUGAGAUCAAGCCACUGCACUCUAGCCUGGGAAACAGAGCAAGACUCCGUCUCAA
rnacentral:SRP_RNA from 1 species